rnacentral:rRNA from 1 species
UAACUUAGGGAGAAGGGGUGCCUACGAGAGUAGGCCGCAGUGAAUAGGCUCAAGCAACUGUUUAUCAAAAACACAGGUCUCUGCUAAAGCGUAAGCUGAUGUAUAGGGGCUGACGCCUGCCCGGUGCUGGAAGGUUAAGGGGAAUAGUUAGCGCAAGCGAAGCUAUGAACUUAAGCCCCAGUAAACGGCGGCCGUAACUAUAACGGUCCUAAGGUAGCGAAAUUCCUUGUCGGGUAAGUUCCGACCCGCACGAAUGGCGUAAUGAUUUGAGCACUGUCUCGGCAAUAAAUCCGGUGAAAUUGUAGUGCAAGUGAAGAUGCUUGCUACCCGCGGUUGGACGGAAAGACCCCGUAGAGCUUUACUGUAGCUUAGCAUUGAAUUUCGGUAUUGUCUGUACAGGAUAGGUGGGAGACUUAGAAGCGAGGGCGUCAGCUUUCGUGGAGUCGUCCUUGGGAUACCACCCUGACAGUACUGGAAUUCUAACUGGAGGCCAUGAAUCUGGUCACAGGACAUUGCUAGGUGGGCAGUUUGACUGGGGCGGGCGCCGCCUAAAAGGUAACGGAGGCGCCCAAAGGUUCCCUCAGCGCGGUCGGAAAUCGCGCGUAGAGUGCAAAGGCAGAAGGGAGCCUGACUGCGACACAUACAGGUGGAGCAGGGACGAAAGUCGGGCUUAGUGAUCCGGUGGUUCUGUAUGGAAGGGCCAUCGCUCAACGGAUAAAAGCUACCUCGGGGAUAACAGGCUGAUCUCCCCCAAGAGUCCAC